rnacentral:rRNA from 1 species
UACAGAGGGGGCAAGCGUUAAUCGGAAUUACUGGGCGUAAAGCGUGCGCAGGCGGUUUUGUAAGUCUGUCGUGAAAGCCCCGGGCUCAACCUGGGAAUUGCGAUGGAGACUGCAAGGCUUGAAUCUGGCAGAGGGGGGUAGAAUUCCACGUGUAGCAGUGAAAUGCGUAGAGAUGUGGAGGAACACCAGUGGCGAAGGCGGCCGGCUGGGCCUUGACUGACGCUGAGGCGCGUCAGCGUGGGGAGCGAACCGG